rnacentral:rRNA from 1 species
AGCUCCAAUAGCGUAUAUUAAAGUUGUUGCAGUUAAAAAGCUCGUAGUUGGAUCUCAGGUUCGGGCUUGCGGUGGCUCCUCGUAGAGUCUUUCUGCUUGACCCGGCCUCGCUUUUGCGGUCCGCACAGGGUGCUCUUAACUGAGUGCUUUGUGUGUCCGUAACGUUUACUUUGAAAAAAUUAGAGUGUUCAAAGCAGUCUACUCGACUGAAUAAUGGUGCAUGGAAUAAUGGAAUAGGACCUCGGUUCUAUUUUGUUGGUUUUCGGAACUUGAGGUAAUGAUUAAGAGGGACAGACGGGGGCAUUCGUAUUGCGCCGUUAGAGGUGAAAUUCUUGGAUCGGCGCAAGACGAACAAGUGCGAAAGCAUUUGCCAAGAAUGUUUUCA